AAGGAUAAUCGGAAAGCGACAGGGACUUAAGUGUCAAUUUGUUUGUUUCAAAGUUUUGUUUAGUUUUGAGUGUGAUACUUUAAUAGGUAUCAUGGUCUCAAAGUGAUCCUAUGGGGAAUUAGCUCAGCUGGGAGAGCACCUGCUUUGCAAGCAGGGGGUCAGCGGUUCGAUCCCGCUAUUCUCCAUAGCUAGUCGAAAGGCUAGCAUGUUGUACAUUGAAAACUGAAUAGUAACAAAUUCUUUUAAAAGCAAUCGUAAGAUUGCACUAAAAUGAACCGAGAAACAACACAAAAAGUUCUUUAAAAAGAACGGUUUAAUCGCAGGUCUGAAAAAUGACCAACUCAUAAACUUAAACCACAACUUCGGUUGUAUA
rnacentral:tRNA from 1 species